ACGGGUGAGUAACAUAUCGGAACGUACCGAGUAGUGGGGGAUAACUGAUCGAAAGAUCAGCUAAUACCGCAUACGUCUUGAGAGGGAAAGCAGGGGACCUUCGGGCCUUGCGCUAUUCGAGCGGCCGAUAUCUGAUUAGCUAGUUGGUGGGGUAAAGGCCUACCAAGGCGACGAUCAGUAGCGGGUCUGAGAGGAUGAUCCGCCACACUGGGACUGAGACACGGCCCAGACUCCUACGGGAGGCAGCAGUGGGGAAUUUUGGACAAUGGGCGCAAGCCUGAUCCAGCCAUGCCGCGUGUCUGAAGAAGGCCUUCGGGUUGUAAAGGACUUUUGUCAGGGAAGAAAAGGCUGUUGCUAAUAUCAGCGGCUGAUGACGGUACCUGAAGAAUAAGCACCGGCUAACUACGUGCCAGCGGCCGCGGUAAUACGUAGGGUGCAAGCGUUAAUCGGAAUUACUGGGCGUAAAGAGUGCGCAGGCGGUUUUGCAAGACCGAUGUGAAAUCCCCGGGCUUAACCUGGGAACUGCAUUGGUGACUGCAAGGCUAGAGUGUGUCAGAGGGAGGUGGAAUUCCGCAUGUAGCAGUGAAAUGCGUAGAUAUGCGGAGGAACACCGAUGGCGAAGGCAGCCUCCUGGGAUAACACUGACGCUC
rnacentral:rRNA from 1 species